UCCAGCUUAUCGCUGGCGGUCUCCUGAGAGUGCAUCCUUACGGAUUAGCAACACAGGACAAGGGUUGCGCUCGUUGCGGGACUUAACCCAACAUCUCACGACACGAGCUGACGACAGCCAUGCAGCACCUCGACUCCCGUCCCUUGCGGGAAACGCCUGUUUCUAGGCGGUUUCGUGAGCCGUUCGAGCCCAGGUAAGGUUCUUCGCGUUGCGUCGAAUUAAACCACAUGCUCCACCGCUUGUGCGGGCCCCCGUCAAUUCCUUUGAGUUUCAACCUUGCGGUCGUACUCCCCAGGCGGGGUACUUCCUGCGUUAGCGCCGGCACCCAGAGGGUCGCUCCCCCAGGCACCUAGUACCCAUCGUUUACGGCGUGGACUAC
rnacentral:misc_RNA from 1 species